rnacentral:rRNA from 1 species
AGUAAAGAUACUAAUGCAUAUGGUGGAUGCCUUGGGUAUUCGCGCCGAUGAAGGAGGUGCUAAGCUGCCAUAAGCCUCGAGGAGUUGCUACGAAACGUUAUUACUCGGGGACUUCCGAAUGGGGAAACCCAACCCGCUUAUAAGGCGAGGUUACUAAUUACUGAAAACUGCGCAAGCGGCCAUAGGUAAUUUAGAGGGAACUCGGCGAACUGAAACAACUUAGUAGCCGGAGGAAAAGAAACCAAAUCAGGUAUUCUCCUAGUAGCGGCGAGCGAACGGGGAACAGCCCAAACCCAUAUUAAUAUUGGGGGUAUAGACAAUCCUAAUGUUUGAUCAUAGAAGAGUUAACUAAAUUUUUUUCGUAGAAGAAGCCUUCUGGAAAGAAGCGCCAUAGAGGGUAACAGCCCCGUAUUUGAAACGAAAAAAACUCUUGGGUUGAUCUUGAGUAGCACGGGACACGUGUAACCCUGUGUGAACAAACGACGUCCACGUCGUAAGGCUAAAUACGCGAAUACACCGAUAGCGCAUAGUACCGUGAGGGAAAGGUGAAAAGAACCCCUGUUAGGGGAGUGAAAUAGAUACUGAAACCGUAUGCAGACAAGCUGGCAAAGCCCGUAAGGGUAAUGCCGUGCCUAUUGAAGAAUGAGCCAACGAGUUAAUAGAUUGGGCAAGCUUAAGCCGUAACAGCGGCGGAGGCGUAGGGAAACCGAGUCUUAAUAGGGCGACCAGUCCAUUUUAUUAGACCCGAAGCCAGGUGAGCUAACCAUGGCCAGGAUGAAACCCUGCGAAAUCAGGGUGAAGGUCCGAACCGUUGUAUGAGGAAAAAUGCUCGGAUGAGCUGUGGUUAGGGGUGAAACGCUAAUCGAACUUGGCAAUAGCUGGUUCUCCCCGAAAUAUAUUUAGGUAUAGCCCUUGAUUACAAGGUCUACGUCGGUUUACCGACUAAGCCCUUGUUAUAUAACUUUGCGAGGUAGAGAUACUGAAAGGGGAUGGGGCGCGCAAGUGUACCCACCCCUACCAAACUCCGAAUGCGCAAAGUGUUCCAAGGAGUCAGUGCUGCGGGGAAAUCUCGUGGCACGAAAGGGAAACAACCCGGACCAUCAGCUAAGGUCCCUAAAUUAUGCUUAGUGGGCAAGGAAGUGAGAUCGUUAAGACAGCUAGGAGGUUGGCUUAGAAGCAGCCACCCUUUAAAGAUAGCGUAACAGCUCACUAGUUGAACGAUUUUGCGCCGACGAUUUAACGGGGCUCAAGCAUAAUACCGAAGCUAUGGAUUUGCUGUUUAUUCAGCAAGUGGUAGGGGAGCUUUGAUGCAGCAGUGAAGGUGUACCCGUGAGGGGCGCUGGAGCGGCAUCAAGUGAGAAUGUUGGCAUGAGUAACGUAAGGGUGGUGAAAACCCACCCCGCCGAAAAUCUAAGGGUUCCUCCGCAAUGCCAGUCAUCGGAGGGUUAGUCGACCCUAAGGGGAGGCCGAAAGGCGUACCCGAUGGAUAGCAGGUUAAUAUUCCUGCACUUUUGUAAGAUCGUUAUUACCGAUGGGAGGACGGAGCAUGAUGGACCAAGCUCAUUAAGGAUUUGAGUCCCAAAAGCAAGGCAGUCUGUGUAGGCAAAUCCGCACGGGCGCUACGUCGAGCUUAGGGAAAGUCUGCCGCAAGGCGGAUAAUUUGGUGUCACGCAAGCUUCCAGGAAAAUUCUCUAGGGAGAUCUUACAAUAUUCGUACCGUAAACCGACACAGGUAGAUGAGUAGAGGAUACUAAGGCGAACGAGCGAAUCGUGGUUGAGGAACUAGGCAAAUUACAUCCGUAACUUAGGGAAAAGGAUGCCCUGCCACGAACCUGCGUAAGCAGGGAGUCGGUAGGGGGCACAAAAAUGGCUCAAGCGACUGUUUAACAAAAACAUAGGUCUCUGCUAAACCAGUAAUGGGAUGUAUAGGGGCCGAUGCCUGCCCAGUGCCCGUAGGUCAAGAUCGGGGGUGAUUUCCAACUUCGGUUGGAAUGAGCUUUUGGUUUAAGCCCGGGUGAACGGCAGCAGUAACUAUAACUGUUCUAUGGUGAAUUUACGCGCCGCCAUAGUGGGUAGCUCGAUCUACCCCGUUUGGAUAUGCCCAAACGCAACCUGACUAUAUGCUGGAAACUCCGUCCAUGCUUUAUGCAAUAAAGACAUGGUGGCUCUAAUUAAAAUAGAGGAAAGUAUCUUGGACUACUCAACAUAUUCGGAUAGUAUCCGGGUGUGCAAAGUGAAAAUGUAUCAAGUGCGGACAAUCAGCAGGAAAGACUAAGAAUUGAAGGGUGGCUAGUUGGUUUUACAGAUGGAGAAGGUGCUUUCACAGUUAGCAUCUUAAAAAACUCCACAAGCAAAAACGGCUGGCAAGUGUUUCCUGAAUUUAUAAUAACUCAGGGAGCACGAAGCAAGGAUGCUUUAUAUUUGUUCAAAGAUUUUUUCGGUUGUGGAAAUGUUUAUCUCAACAGAAGACAUAAUAACCACAAUGAAGAUCUUUACAGAUAUUGCGUUAGAUCAAUCCGAGAUCUGCAAAAUGUAAUAAUCCCAUUUUUUACUCAAACCUCACUAAGGUCUGAUAAGAAGAAGGAUUUUGCAAUAUUCUGCCAGGUGAUGGCAAUGAUCAAAAACAGAGAGCAUCUCAAAGUAUCCGGUUUAUUCAAAAUUGCCGCUCUGGCUAUGAGGAUGAAUCGGAAAGUGCGACCCAAAUUCUUAGAAUCCCCACUCACUAUACGUCGGGCUUCUGCUGGAUCAGAAGAAGAGAUAGUGGCGUCUGCAUGGCGACAUGCAGGGAUUGGUUCUCAGGGAAGGACCGUCCAGAAUUCGCAGAAAUGCGAGUGAAGAUUACAAGCGUAAUCCCUUGUCGGGUAAGUUCCGACCCGCACGAAAGGCAUAACGACUUGAGCACUCUCUUAAUCACGAGCUCGGUGAAAUUGAACUACCGGUGAAGAUGCCGGUUACUCGUUGUUGGACAAAAAGACCCCGUGGAGCUUUACUGUAGCUUGGUAUUGGUAAUCGGUGUUAAAUGUGUAGUGUAGGAGGGAGAUCCAUACUUGUAUGUAUCGUCAAUGAAACACCUCUCUUUUGGCUCUGAGAGCCUAACUACUCUGCAUUACCUGCAGAGGGGACAAUGCCUGGCGGGCAGUUUAUCUGGGGCGGAUUCCUGCUAAAGGAUAACGCAGGAGCCCAAAGGUUCUCUUAGCGCCGAUGGAAAUGGCGCUGUAAGCGUAAAGGUAUAUGAGAGCUUGACUGCGAGACCUACAAGUCGAGCAGAUACGAAAGUAGGGCUUAGUGAUCUUCCGUGUGCCUAGUGGUAGGCCCGGAACUUAACGGAUAAAAGUUACCCCGGGGAUAACAGGCUGAUCUUGCCCGAGCGUCCAUAGCGGCGGCAAGGUUUGGCACCUUAGACAUACAUCAAGGGUGCUACGAAAGUAAUUUCGUACCAAAAAUUCGGCUAAUAACGGUGAACUUCUAAUUGAUUUCAUUCAGUCUUCGGACUUUUUGAAACAAAGGAGAAUACCGUGGGAAGUUUUCUAAUUUUAUUAGAAGACCCCGUAUCGACUGAUCCAUAAAAAAUGGCCAUUAUAUAACUCAGUAUUGGUCAUUGGAGAAAUAGGAGGUACCCAACAAAUUGGGAUAAAAACUCUUAUUAAACGCCGACUCCUACUCUCACUUUUAGAAGUGAGACAAGAGGAAGAAGAUAUAGUCAGUGCAACUAGAGAUAGUUGAUUUACAUGCGAUGUCGUCUCGUCACAUCCUGGAGCUGGAGCAGGUUCCAAGGGUCCGGCUGUUCGCCGGUUAAAGUGGCGCGUUAGAUGGGUUAAGAACGUCGUGAGACAGUUCGGUCUCUUUCCACAACGAGCGUUUGGCUUUGAGAGGACUCAUUCCUAGUACGAGAGGACCGGAAUGACAGAACCUCUAGUGUACCAGUUGUUCUACCAAGGGCAUUGCUGGGUAGCUACGUCCUGACUUGAUAAGUGCUGAAAGCAUCUAAGCACGAAGCAAACCUCAAGAUUAGAGCCGUUCCGCUUUAAGCGGACACAAUUCCUGGGAGACUACCAGGUUGAUAGGCCGUAGGUGUAAGCACAGCAAUGUGUUCAGCCAAGCGGUACUAAUUAUUUGUGAAUCUUUAGUAC